rnacentral:rRNA from 1 species
GACGAACGCUGGCGGCGUGCCUAAUACAUGCAAGUCGAGCGGACCGAACAGGAGCUUGCUCUUGUUCGGUUAGCGGCGGACGGGUGAGUAACACGUGGGUAACCUGCCCGUAAGGCCGGGAUAACUCCGGGAAACCGGAGCUAAUACCGGAUAACACCGAAGACCGCAUGGUCUUUGGUUGAAAGGCGGCUUCGGCUGCCACUUACGGAUGGGCCCGCGGCGCAUUAGCUAGUUGGUGAGGUAACGGCUCACCAAGGCGACGAUGCGUAGCCGGCCUGAGAGGGUGACCGGCCACACUGGGACUGAGACACGGCCCAGACUCCUACGGGAGGCAGCAGUAGGGAAUCUUCCGCAAUGGACGAAAGUCUGACGGAGCGACGCCGCGUGAGCGAAGAAGGUCUUCGGAUCGUAAAGCUCUGUUGUUAGGGAAGAAGAAGCGUCGUUCGAACAGGGCGGCGCGGUGACGGUACCUAACGAGAAAGCCCCGGCUAACUACGUG